rnacentral:lncRNA from 1 species
AGACCCUUGCUUCCUGCACUAUCUUCAAAAGUUUAGGUCGGAGGAGGAUUUACGGAAUGGCCAUCUUCCAUAAUUAACAAAUAAAUAAAUGAAAUUUAAUGUCAGGGUCAAAUGAAACUGGAAACAAAGCUUAUCUGGUGAUAUAUCAAAUUAUGAGAGUCAUUAUUUGGAUGUAAGGAUAUAUGACAGAUAGACUCUUAGGAGAAAUGCUAUGACCUCCUGCUUCUUGGUAUUCCUUGUGUGAUUUCCUCCUCUUGAGUGUGAAGGCAUGUAUGUCAUUGAGUUAUAUAAGAUAGUGCCCAUCUUGCUAGUGUCUCUCUCUCUCUUGUGGCUCUGAAAAAUCAAGCUGCCUGCCAUGUUUGAGCUUUGAUAUGGAAAGACCCACAUGUUAAGGAACUGAGGGCAGACUCUGCCAACAGCUAGCUUUGAAACUGAAUCUCCCGGCCAGGCACAGUGGCUCAUGCCUUUAAUCCCAGCACUUUGGGAGGCCAAGGUGGGUGGAUCACAAGGUCAGGAGUUCAAGACCAGCCUGGCCAAGAUGGUGAAACCCCAUCUCUACUAAAAAUACAAAAAUUAGCUGGGUGUGGUGGCAGGCACCUGUAAUCCCAGCUACCCAGGAGGCUGAGGGAGAGAAUUUCUUGAACCCAGGAGGCAGAGGUUGCAGUGAGCUGAGAUCACGCCACUGCACUCCAGCCUGGGUGGCAGAGCGAGACUCCAUCUCAAAAAAAAAAAAAAAAGAGAGAAAGAAACCAAAUCUCUCAGUCCUACAACCUCAAGGAACUGAAUUUUGCCAACAAAAGCAGAUCCUUCCCCAGUCAAGCCUCAGAUGAGACAGCAUCCUCAGCUAACAACUUGUUUGCAGCCUCAUGAGAACUGAAGCAGAGAACCCAGCUAAACUGUGCCUAGACUCCUGACCACAGAAACUGAGAUAAUAAAUGUGUGUUGUUUUAAGCUGCCAAGUAUGUGAUAAUUUGUUAUGUAGUGGAGAACUAAUACAACAGGGAAAAGUUAAAAGCUAUUCACAUAAAUAUUUAUAAUGGAUACUAUUUCUACACAUUUAAAUCAAGCUUCUCUUACGUUCAUAAGAAGAUACGAAUCUGGAGAAGGAAAUUAUAUCAAGCAGAACGCUGCUCUGGUGUUGUGAAGACGGGAUCCCACCAUUCUAAUGUAUUCAAUUUAUUUAUUCAAUAAGUUUUGAGCAUCAACUAUGUUCCAGGCACUGAGAUAUUAAUCUAAGGAAGACACACGUGUUGUCCUCAUUGAGGAGCUCAAAAGUCUAAUACAUAAACCAACAAUCAUACAAAAAUCAUAGCCAUGUUACAGUGCUAUGAGGAAGAUGUUAAGAGAAUAUUCUGGAAGUACUCAUACAUAAAUACUUCAGAAACUGGGCAUUAUAAGAAGUCAGUUGCCUCUCUCUACUUUCAGUUCUACAUUUUUAUACCUUGUAGUGGAUUUAAAAUGGCCACAAAUUCUUCAAUACUCUUCUAUGGAGAGAUUUGAGGGCUAUUUCCCUUCAUCUUGAAUUUAGGCAGGCUUGUUCAGGGUCUGGCUUUUAAGAGGAGCUUUCACCUUGGUCUGUGGAAGUCCUGAGUCACUGUGUACAAAGUCCAUCUACCUUAUUACACCAUCUGGAGAGAGCUGAGACUACAGGGAGAGGGGGAGUGGCCCGGCUGAUCCCAGUCUUCCUAGUGACCCUGCCCAGGAACUUGGCAUGUGAGUAAAGCCAUCUUGGAACCUCCAUACCAGACCAGCCACGAGAUGAAUAAUACUAACUGAUCCCAGUCAAUGCCACAUAGAGCAGAAGAACUGCCUAACUGAAUUCUUUCCAAACUGCUGACUCAAAAAUUUGUAUGGUAUAAUAAAAUGUUUGUUUUAAGUCACUGUUUUGUUAGGAGUAAUAAGCAACCAGAAUAAAAUUCUAAUCUUUAUCAUGUACCGUGCUGAAAAUCUGACCAUCUCACUCUCCUUAAAACUCCGUCAAUCCCUUCCCAUUACCCAAAUCCCUCUUGUAUGUCAUAGAAGUCCCUCAUUACGUGACCUCUACCUACUUCUCUGGUCUUGUCUCCUAACAUGGCCUCCAACUCCAGGCUCUCAUAUUACCUAUUUGCUAAUGGUUCCUGGGCCAGCAUCCAACAUACUGUUCCCUCCUUCCAUGCCAAGAAGAGACAGCUUAUUCUGUUUCCUUGGCCGGUCAUUGCCUUCUUCAUUUGCUUUGCCUAACUUGCUCACCGUGUAAAAAUAUUCAUCUAAGUAGUUACUUCCUCUCAGAAGUCUGCUCUAGGCCAUGAGAAACUCACAGCCAAAAAUGCAAAUGAUUCCAGAUGAUCAUUCACUGUAGAAAAGGAAUUGAUGGGCCGG